rnacentral:rRNA from 1 species
UCACUUUCAACAACGGACCUCUUGGCUCUCGCAUCGAUGAAGAACGUAGCGAAGUGCGAUAAGUAAUGUGAACUGCAGAAUUCCGUGAAUCAUCGAAUCUUUGAACGCAAAUUGCACUCUCUGGUAACCCGGGGAGUAUGCCUGUUUGAGGGUCAGU